UGAAUACUGACAAUGGAUGACAUGUUCAAAUAGUUUUCUUCGUUAUUCCUCCAUAGAUCAGAGAUUACUUGAUUUUAAAAAACAAAAUGCUAGUGAAAAACAAUCACCUUUCAGACAAGAUCAUUGUUUUGCCAGGAAAAACUGAAGACGUCUCACUUCCUGAGGCUGUAGAUGUGAUCAUUUCCGAACCAAUGGGAUACAUGCUGUUCAAUGAACGGAUGCUAGAGAGUUAUCUUCAUUCCAAAAAAUGGCUAAAAUCAAAUGGAAUGAUGUUCCCGACAUUCAGCGACAUCCACUUGGCCCCUUUUUCUGAUGAACAGCUCUACGUGGAACACUUCUCCAGAGCCAAUUUUUGGUAAUGUUCUUUUCUCCUCCCUUCCUUUCCCUUCAAAGUAAACCAGUUUUUAAAACUA
rnacentral:lncRNA from 1 species